AUGAACGCUGGCGGCGUGUCUUAGGCAUGCAAGUCGUACGAGCACCUUCGGGUGCUAGUGGCAAACGGGUGCGUAACACAUUGGUAACCUGCCUCUAUCUCGGCCAUAACUCGGAGAAAUCUGAGCUAAUAGCCGAUGUGCCCAUCUUGCGCAAGCAAGAUGAGUAAAGGUUUAUUCCGGAUAGAGAGGGGCCUAUGGUUUAUCAGCUAGUUGGUGAGGUAAUAGCUCACCAAGGCAAUGACGAAUAGCGGGUGUGAGAGCAUGACCCGCCUCACUGGGACUGAGACACUGCCCAGACUCCUACGGGAGGCUGCAGUCGAGAAUCUUCCUCAAUGGCCGAAAGGCUGAAGGAGCGACGCCGCGUGUAGGAAGACGCCCCUCGGGGUGUAAACUACUUUUCUAAAGGAAAAAUUUUUGAUGGUACUUUAGGAAUAAGCCACUGCUAACUUCGU
rnacentral:rRNA from 1 species